UCGAGCCCCACUCUGCACAAACCGAAGUGCACAAGCAAGGGAGGCCAUGGUGAGAAGGUAAGAUUCUUACCCUUGCGGAGCACACGGCCCAUUUAUGCGGGAACUAGCGAAGGUUGCUGCAGUCCCUGGAGAUGAAGUGACCCGUGGGAAAGGCAGCCUGAGCCCCACAUUCUGCAAACACCAGUGCUGAAGGCACACCGGUUGCAUAUGUUCUUCCUCUCCGACUGACCAGCACCCGGAUCUCCUUGCCCACUGAAGAGCUGGCAGUGCCUGGGAAGCCAAAGAGCUGGCAGCACCUGGGAACUUCUGCAUUCCUGGGGCAAGCCCUUGAGCCGUCACUCAGGGAUGCAGCUAAACAAAUACUCCAGCUCCUUGCCCAGCUAGGACUGCCUCCCAGGGACCCAGGCAAGCCACAGUGGACGUGACAAUCCUUGUCUUGCCAUGUAUCGCACCCACUUCCCGUGGGUCCAGUCGACGCCAUCACAGGAGACCCGGUUCGGUUUCAAUCAGCUUUAAUUUCUUCUCGCAGGCGGUGUUAACAGAAAGAUUGCAGCUUGCACGCAGGCAAGUAUGAGUUACAGCUCUUCCAGUUUCUCUCUAAUUUCAUUCCUCUCGUCUCUGCAGGAUGGCUCACUAGCUUCUGGUUCUGCUUGCUUCUCUCCCACCUGGCUUCUCCUUUUUCCCUACUACUAACUACCGCUAUAUAUAUGUUUCCUAGACCAAUCAAAGGGGAGAGCAUGCGUGACCUUUAACUCUAUUGG